rnacentral:rRNA from 1 species
UUCCGGUUGCUCCUGCCGGACCCCACUGCUAUCGGGAUAGGACUAAGACAUGCUAGUCAAGCGUGCCGAGUGCGGCGCACAGCUCAGUAGCACGUGGCUAACCUGCCCUUGGGACGGGGACACCCCCGGGAAACUGGGGUUAAUCCCCGAUAGGCGAAGAACUCUGGAAUGAGUCUCCACCCAAAGCUCGUACGCCCAAGGAUGGGGCCGCGACCGAUCAGGUUGUUGGCGAGGCAAUGGCUCACCAAGCCUUUUACCGGUGCGGGCCGUGGGAGCGGGAGCCCGGAGAUGGGCACUGAGACAAGGGCCCAGGCCCUACGGGGCGCAGCAGUCGCGAAACCUCCGCAAUACACGAAAGUGUGACGGGGUUACCCAAAGUGUUCAAUUUUGAACUGUGGUAGGUGAGUAAUGUUCCCUACUAGAAAGGAGAGGGCAAGGCUGGUGCCAACCGCCGCGGUAAAACCAGCUCUUCAAGUGGUCGGGAUAAUUAUUGGGCUUAAAGUGUCCGUAGCCGGUUAAGUAAGUUCCUGGUAAAAUCGGGUAGCUUAACUAUCCGUAUGCUAGGAAUACUACUAUACUAGAGGACGGGAGAGGUCUGAGGUACUACAGGGGUAGGGGUGAAAUCUUAUAAUCCUUGUAGGACCACCAGUGGCGAAGGCGUCAGACUGGAACGUGCCUGACGGUGAGGGACGAAAGCCAGGGGAGCGAACCGGAUUAGAUACCCGGGUAGUCCUGGCUGUAAACGAUGCAUACUAGGUGAUGGUACGGCCAUGAGCCGUGUCAGUGCCGUAGGGAAACCGUUAAGUGUGCCGCCUGGGAAGUACGGUCGCAAGGCUAAAACUUAAAGGAAUUGGCGGGGGAGCACCACAAGGGGUGAAGCCUGCGGUUCAAUUGGAUUCAACGCCGGA